AUUGAACGCUGGCGGCAGGCCUAACACAUGCAAGUCGAACGGUAACAGGAAACAGCUUGCUGUUUCGCUGACGAGUGGCGGACGGGUGAGUAAUGUCUGGGAAACUGCCUGAUGGAGGGGGAUAACUACUGGAAACGGUAGCUAAUACCGCAUAACGUCGCAAGACCAAAGAGGGGGACCUUCGGGCCUCUUGCCAUCGGAUGUGCCCAGAUGGGAUUAGCUAGUAGGUGGGGUAACGGCUCACCUAGGCGACGAUCCCUAGCUGGUCUGAGAGGAUGACCAGCCACACUGGAACUGAGACACGGUCCAGACUCCUACGGGAGGCAGCAGUGGGGAAUAUUGCACAAAGGGCGCAAGCCUGAUGCAGCCAUGCCGCGUGUAUGAAGAAGGCCUUCGGGUUGUAAAGUACUUUCAGCGGGGAGGAAGGGAGUAAAGUUAAUACCUUUACUCAUUGACGUUACCAGCAGAAGAAGCACCGGCUAACUCCGUG
rnacentral:rRNA from 1 species